UAUAUGUCUGCAGGCGUGAAGGAGUGGGAGAGGCACUGUUGGUCCCCUAAAUUUUAGAGAGUCCAGUGCUUACCUGUCCUAGUGAUACUUUGACACCUGGACCCCAGACUGUCAGAAAGGCCCAAGUCAAUUAUAAAACAACCAUGCGGCAGAAAGCAAAUGUCAUCCUGGAUCUGGACACAGCACAUCCCUGGCUCAUCCUGUCCAAGGAUCGCAAAAGUGUGAGAAAUGAAGGCAGUUGGAAAGAUUUGCCCGACUCUGCUGAGAGAUUUGACCUAUGUCGCUAUGUGUUAGGAUGUGAGGGAUUCACAGCAGGCAAACAUUACUGGGAAGUCACUGUGGAAAGUGAGGGGUUUGGGGCUGUGGGGGUGGCCAGGAAGUCUGUAUAAAGGAAAGGCCCUGUUGUUUUGGAAAUGAAGGAAGGGAUCUGGGCUGUGGGGAGAUGGGAAGGCGAAUACGAGGCCUUCAAUGAUCCUCUCCAAUCUUUUCUUCCCUUGAGUGAGAAGCUGAGGAGGAUCCGGGUGUCCCUGAACUAUGAAAAGGGCCAGGUGGCCUUUAGUGAUGCCGAUACAGGAUCCCAUCUCCACACCUUCUCUGGAGCCUCUUUCUCUGGGGAGACCCUUCUCCCCUUCUUUUGUUUGGAUGGAAAGGGUUCCCUCACAAUCCCAUUUUAAGGCAGCCAAGUUUACCUCAAAGGGAAAUCAACACUGAUGUGGUCAAUUGUGUCUCCUUCCCUUUCUGCAAAUUCCCACCAAGAGAGGCUUCUGGCCAAAAACCUCCCCUCCCCCAAUCCUCUGCAUCAAGAAUGAAGGCUGCUUUUCUCUCUCCCUUUCCCAGAAUUCCUCCCUCCCUUUGCCAAUAAAUUCUUUAAAAGACAGAAGCCCUUUUCCUGCAUGUCAGAAAA